rnacentral:lncRNA from 1 species
UGCUCUGCUCUGAUAUAAGCCCGUUCAGUUGCGCUUCUCUGACCGCUCUCUCCAUCUCUAUCAAACCUCUUUUACUGUUAGGUAUGAACUCAACUCUUCAAAAUUCCUUUCAGAAGCAAAAUGCAAUCGAAAUCCUUCUCUUUCUUCAAAAUUCCGUACAUCCUCUAAUCAAAUUGUUUGAUUUUGGUACGCGAUUGCAAUUUUUGUUAAAAGUUUUUCUUUUUCCGUUCAAUCGAUCACUACAUGAAUCGUAAUGCAUGUUAAUUGGCGUGAUUCAAUUCAGCUUUUGCUGUUUCUUUCCUGAGAAAGGCCGCAAGAGAACACUGACACGCGAAAUUCAAUAUCUUUUUCUGUUUGAUAACGGUCGGGUCCGGGCCAGCUAAAUUCAAUAUCUUUAUGCUUUUUACAUUCUUUUGAUAGUAACGUAAUUUCUUUACCACUUGUUAGUUUGUAUCCGUUUUAAUUGUUUUAACGUUUUGCUUCUUUUUUGAACUUUUGAAGAUCUUAAGUUGGCAAUUAUAAUCAUUUGUAAUCACGAUCUUAGCAAUUAUGGAAAAGCCAUCGCUUCGUUUUUCAGGUCCGUUAUGUCGCUUCUUUCAUUGUAUUGUAGUCGAUCAAAUAAUUUUCUUUUGUAGCACGCAUUACUUAGUUUUGUUACUUUUUGCUCGUAUCUAGCUUAGUCGCAUAUGUUGGUUCAGGAUUUAAAAUCAAUGAGUAUACGGUCUAACAUAUACCCGAGGCAGUGUGUUUUCACUUCCCCUAUGUUGGAUCCACUUGUGCUCAGAGUUAUUGGAAUUUCAUUUCUUUAAGGACGCUAAAAAGCAUCCUUUUCGUAUUUGAUGUUAAGCUUUAGGAGUACUGGAGUACUAGUUUUGCUAGUGGUACUCCAGCUUGUUGAAUAUUUGGUGCCUGCGUAUUUGUUGUCACAUGUCAACUUUUCUUUUGUUUGUUUCUUUUCUGCUUUGUUUAUUGCUAUUGAUUCAUCAUUCCAGUUCGAAGAACCAUAUCUUGAUAUUUAAAAUGGUUAUUGUACAGCUGGUGUACGUUAGACUAGGAGAGAAUCAUGCUUUAUGCCUGUGUGGUAUAAUCUUAGUACUGUGUUAUGGUUGUGCGCGUGGUGCGUUUUCCUUCCUUUAGACAUUAUCUGAAAUAGUAAUCCUUUGGAAAUAUGUGAACUCACGACCUCCAUAAGUAUGUAUGAAAAAAAAGUAGAGGUGUAUAUAGGUCGNNNNNNNNNNNNNNNNNNNNNNNNNNNNNNNNNNNNNNNNNNNNNNNNNNNNNNNNNNNNNNNNNNNNNNNNNNNNNNNNNNNNNNNNNNNNNNNNNNNNNNNNNNNNNNNNNNNNNNNNNNNNNNNNNNNNNNNNNNNNNNNNNNNNNNNNNNNNNNNNNNNNNNNNNNNNNNNNNNNNNNNNNNNNNNNNNNNNNNNNNNNNNNNNNNNNNNNNNNNNNNNNNNNNNNNNNNNNNNNNNNNNNNNNNNNNNNNNNNNNNNNNNNNNNNNNNNNNNNNNNNNNNNNNNNNNNNNNNNNNNNNNNNNNNNNNNNNNNNNNNNNNNNNNNNNNNNNNNNNNNNNNNNNNNNNNNNNNNNNNNNNNNNNNNNNNNNNNNNNNNNNNNNUAAUUAAUAAGUCAUAAUGAAAAUUAACAUAAUCUGAAAAUACUAUAUAGGUCAUGCUAAAAUAAGUAUAGCUGAUAAGUACUAAUAUUAAUUACAUAAUUAAGUACUAAAGAAAAAGAUAAACUAAGUUAUGCAUUUUCAUUAUAAACCAAUGUAAAACUAAAAUAAUUAUCCAACACUAUCGUCAUUCCUAGUAUUGAAUUGAAUUUCUCUUGUUAGCAUUAUUAUUGAUUUGAACUUUGUUUGAAUUACUACAUUUAUGGGCUAUAAAAUAUUUUUACCAUUCAAGAAUGUUAAGUCUAAACUUGAAAUAAUACGUUAAAAGAUAAAACUGUGAAAAAGUUUAAGAAAUAUUUAAAAAUUAUAUUACAAUAGAUAUUUAAAUGUAUAAAAUAUUUUUAAAAAUUAUAUAAAUGUACUAUCGGGUUGGUUUGGUUUCGGUUUGAUUUUUUUUAGUUAAAACCAAACCAAACCAAUUAUGGUCGGGUUUUAUUUUCCAAUACCAAACCACAUCCCUUUUUUUUCCGGUUUGACUCGGAUUAUCGAUUUGGUGGGGUUUAUCGGUUUUCUUUGUACACCCCCUAAAAACAAGUAUAGAGAGAAAAUAAGUAUAGAUAGAGUUAGAUAUAUAUCUUUUAGAACUCACAACAUGUACAUCCAAUCCACCGAUGGUACGACCCCAUGUAACUUCCAGCGGCUUCACAUAUUAAAAGAACAUGGACGUCUUCACAACAAUGGUCUGUACUAGACGAUGGACUAGAAUACCAACUCGCAUCUAGUAAACUUGUCGACGCCAAGGUACCCUUGCUUAGGAGUCUUUGACAUAUUGCAAGGUUUUUCCCCUUCAAGUUAGUGAUGUAGGGUCUCAUAAUCCAAUAGACGUCCCAUUAUUAUAUUAAUUAUAUCAUAUCUUUGGUCUUUCUUUAUUCUUGCGCUAUAAUGAAAUAAGGCCUCUCUUGCUUCAAAGGGGAGUGGUCUUGCCGUCAAAGAGCUGCAGUGGCAAAAUUGAGAACCAAUGUAUGACUCAAGCAAAGACGACUCUAGGUGAGUUCUUUGUGCGAAUUAUCUGAUAUCUAUAUUGGUGGGAGAUAACAGAAACCCGGCGGACUAGUCAAGAUAGCCUAAGUUGUUCCACAAACCACCAUCAUGAAAAUAAAUAAAUAAAUAAAUUAGGCUUCUUCAUUGCAAGUAAGAAUUCAUCUUGUUUAGUUAAUUCAUUUGUUUAAAUACUUUCUUGCUCCACACAAAAAAGUCUAAAAUUAAACCAUGGAAAAUUUUGGUUCUCAGCAACUAAUUUGAUGCCCAAAAUUUGUGUUCUCAUUCAAUUUAUGGGCCCAUUUGUCAUUUAUUAGAUAGAAUUCCAUAGAGACCAAACCUCGAAUCAAUCAUUUUUCUUGAGUGGUAUGAGGAGAAAACUUCUUAUAUGUUUCUAGAGAGGGGGGGGGGUUGUCAUCUACAUCAUCCAAAUAAGUCAUCUAUCAAAUCGUUGCAAUUAAUGUUUGAUUCACGAGAGAAGGAUAAGAUCUUCGGAAAGUGGGUUUAGUUUGGUUUUUCAUUCAAUUUGUGUUUCUCCCUAUUCCAAUCCAUAUUUAAGUUCUAGUUUACUAUAUGUUGUUAAAAUUUUGAUUUUGACCACACGAUCACAUGAUCCUACUGUCUAAAUUUGGGAAAUUGAUUCAUAUUGGUAGGUAGAAACAAAGAGGGCUGAGGUACCAUUAUUGUAGUAGAUUUUGAUGUUAUCGGAUCACAUAAGAUUGCAAAAUCUUAGUGAUCCUAUUAGUAUUACCUGUUUAUGAUUUCUCUCAGAAAAUGUUGCUCCCAUAUUAUUAAACUAAAUGCAUUUUACCUUAUACUUAAGUAUAAACCGCAUGCACUAGGACAAGAAGCAACACCUAACCUUUGUGUUUGCUAUACUUCCUUUUGGAAAGCUUUUUAUAGAUGUGGACUCUUGUGAAAAGGUGUGUGCAUAGUUCAUGAUGCCAUGAAUUUUUUUGGACGUAUUGUCAUAUUUUGACUAGAUUAUAAAUUUAAUUGCAUCAUACAAUACUAAUCGAUAGUUAUAUCCUUUUAAAAAAUUUGACUUUUUUUGUAUUUAACAUAUUCUAACACCUUAAAGUUCAAACUUCUGUGAGCAUAUAAUUCAUUUUCACAUAGUUUUAGAAUAUAUUUGUCCUGUUUAAAAUGUUUGAGAUAACUGUUUUGUUUUUGCGUUUUUUUGCCUUAACCGAAUAUUCUUGAUAAAAAAAAAAUUCAUGUCGAAUUAUUUGAGGCAGAGGCAGUAACACAUAUUCAAGUCAAUAAAUAGUAGCUGUUUCAUCAGUUUCUUGUAGUAUCUUAGUACCCUUGAAACAAUUCUUUGGUUUUUUCCUGAGAUAUGGAUGUUAAUCUUGUGUCCAUCUCCAUAUCAACUUUCAGUUAAUUUGUCACAUGAUGAAGUCACGCAUCUUAUGGGAUUCCAUUCUGGCCACUCAUUAUUUUGCAUGGUUAAGUGAUGAAACAAUUAAAAUGUAAAAAAUGGCAUGUGCUUCUCUAUCCAUGCCGCUUUUCAUCCAUCACUUUUGCUAUCUCUCCCUGCCCCUGAAAGUUAUUAGAAACGUGAUUGUCUACUCUAGCUUUCCGGGAAAGUGGCUAGGGUAAAAAUAGUUUUUGCGAUAUUGUUUAACUCUAGGUUGACAUGCAAUUUCACUUGAGUGGGGGAUUAUCUCAAUAGACGGCAUUUUGAACCAAAACUCAAAGUUGUGAUACUAAACUGAAAUUUCUAUGAUAUCUUUGGCUUUUGUAGUACAUUGAAAUGGCAUUUAUUGUGCAAACUAGUCCGAUAGUCUUUAGCAUUGGGAUCUUUGGAAUCCAGAAAUGACUUCAUUUAAGCAAGAUUUCAGCAUAUUUUUUAACUAGCUAAGAAUGUGGUGAUCACUUUACGGGGCAUAUCUCGUGUACUUUACUGAAUUGAUCUACUUCUCGCCGUGCAUAUUUCCCCAUUAUUUAGUCUUUCAUGUUGUUCAUUCUUUUUUCCUCUUUUUCAGUGACCUACCACUAUAAGAUUUCAUUAACUGAUGUUUUUUUAUCAUUGCUGGGUAAGACUUUACCAAUAUUACUGUUACAUUUUCUUUUUUCUAGGUAGAUGUUGAAAGUCGGCAUGGAUGUGAAUAUGAAGUUAGCAUCUCAUUGCUGAUGCUUUUGCAAUGCAUAUUGAUACAGCUUUUAGGUAUAUCUUAGUGUACUCUUUGAUCAGUUUUCUGGUCUGCUCUUAUUCUGUUUGCUUCUGGUGCUUUUCUCGCGUAAUUUAUCUGAGAUGCAACUGUUGUCUGCAUAGUAUUUCUAUUUAGUUUUAAUCUGUCAGAUUAAGUGCAUUCCUAACUAAUAGGCAUAUGCAUCACAAGCAUGAAGUAUCAAGACAGUUGAAGAACAUUAGCUGUGCUAACAUUUUCUUUAUUCAUAGUUAAACAUGAUUUGGGUGGCUGUUUUGUGGAUACCUAUUACAUGCCAACUUGCUACAUUUACCAGGUCAAUUGGCCAAUUUUCCCUGACAUCUAUGGGUUCUAUACCAGUCUUUAAUAAUUUAAACAUAUAUUCAUGCGCAUGGAGUACUUGAUCGAGAAGAGAGCUUAAUGGCACAGUCUGCAUCAACUCCACUGCUGCAGUGAUAGCCUGCAGCAUUCCAGUAAGACAAGAAUCAAGGAUCCAGAUAGUGGGGGAGUUUGUUUGGUGCUUUCAAAUUAUAUGGACGUGAAAGUUACCCCAAUUUUGUAGUUCCUGGUGUUUCAUAGUGUUGUUGCUGAGGCUGGCUUAGCUGGAGAUGAAGAGGUGCAUGAGGGUCCUCAUUGACGCGUAAACUGUUUGAAUUCAUGGCAUUUCUGCUCACUGCAUUUGCAUCUCUAGUUCCAUAAACCUGAUUUCCGGCAGAACAUGAAGAAAAAUAUUUGAAGCAGAAUGACUAAAGUUUUUCGUCUUGAUUUUUAUUACACAAGGAAAUUAUUAUCUACUAGCGUAAGUGAAAUCUUUUCUAGUGAUAUACAUCGAUACCUUCUUAUACAAUUCUGUAUUUUCUUGACGAACUAGGUCUAGCUUCUUAUAAAGUUCCAUGCUUUCUUGAUGGCUGAGAUUUCCCUGUAAAUAAACAGAUGGGAGUUUAGCUUCUCAGAGAAAUUCAUAGGAUAAUUACAAGAAGUGACUGCAGUUAUGUGGUUGACCUUUUGGUUUAGUUCUUGCACCUCAUCAAUCAGAAUUUGGUCCUACAGAAAGGAGUGGUUGUCAGUGCUAUUUAUACAAAUAAUAUACGGCACAUUUGGAGGUGAAAGUUCAUACCUUUCUCAUACGGAUGCCACGAAGACUCAUUUCGAGUUGCUUCUCCAAGUUUUGUAAAUCUUUGACAUUCAAUCCAGAUAGCUCUUCACCCUUCAUUUUUCUGCAGGAGAAAAAAUCUUUUAAGCCAAUCUAGGCCUUUAACAUAACAUCCAUGAUUUAACUACAGACUAGUAGUGUUCGUUUCUCUUCUAGAAGUAUCUAUAUUACUUAUAAAAAAAGAACAAAAAAGCUAUAGCUACACAAUUCGUGGUGUUUUGGUAUGACAAUCUUGACAGUUUGAGCGCUCACAAAAAUCCGCAAUACCGUAUGAUAUUACAAAAAUCCAACUUUCACUGGUUUUGUAAGCUUAUACUGGUGAGGCACAUCAUGUGCAGUCCUCCUAAAUCUGCAUCUGAUUUACUAUAUAGUAACUAUUAUAAUGGAGGUUACCGUGUACUAUAUUAUAUUAAGUAUAAGGUAAGUCCAUGCUAACAAUUUAUUAAUAUAAAGAUUAUGUGUUCAUUGUGAGUUGUGCUUAAUAUAAUUCUUGUCGAGGGAAUAUAGUGGCUAGUCAUUUGAGUUUCCCUUGAUCGGACUAAUGGUAGUGAAUGUAUUUCAAGAAGUAUAUUUCCACGGGAAUGCCUCAUCCUUUUUUACUGUUAUGCAACACUUGGUAGAAUGUUAGUGUUAGUUUUAUUGCACCAUAGGUAUGUGUAUCCUCUUCUAAAUAUAUCAAUGCCUAUUUAGAAUAUCUCUCAUAUUCUCGUAUGUUAUGAGAGCCUCCAUGAUCAUAGUAUAGACCUAAGUCACUUUCUCGUCCAGCUGUCUGUCCCUAACAACAUCCACCUUACCAAAGUUUUUCCUUUAACUAUUUUAAAUUUUUCUCAUCAUCGUUCUUGGGGUAAUCAGUGGCAUGGCAUCGCAUCUCUUUCCUGCCACUAUUUUGGGCUUGCAUGCUACCAGAAAUUUUCAGACAUCUUCCUGCCAAUAUUCCGCAGGCACCAUUUUGGUUACUGUUCAGCUGCCAUUUAAGACUUGGUUGCCACACCGGUGAUGUCUGGGAAAAUUAUCAUAGCACCUUCCUUUCUUGUGUUUGAAGAUAGGUUUCCUUCUGUGUGUGCUGCACAUUAACCAUAACUUUCUCUGGCUUUUGGUUUUGGGGGUGCAGUGGGGGUUAUGGACUUAUGGUGUCUCUUCCCAUUCACUUUUUUGGCAAUUAUUCACCCACCACUCAGGAAUCUAUUCUUUGUUCAGGCAAAUUUAUUCUGUUCCAAGUUUUAUUCAAAAUAAGCGACUUAAGUUGGUUUUCCACCUUGAGUUUAAAGGGGCAGGCUAGAAUGUUAAGCUAUACUGUCCCAUCACCCAUGUUGGAGAAAUAUAUUUCAACCCCAUAAAUAGGUGUUCCCAAAGUUAAAAAAGUUAUUCUCCAGAUCGCCUUUCAUUUUCUAACACCACCUGCCUGGUGGGAUCUUAAAUGUCCUUUCUGUUAGCACUUAUAGAUUUGAUACUUUCGGGAGAGUUUCGAGUGGACAUUUGGGUUUUUGAGCCUUCUUAUUUCAAAACUAAAAUGUUUCAAGCUAUCUAUUCUGGUCGUUUCAGUGUUCAAUAUCCAUGAAGAUAAUAGAGGGGCAUCCCUACACAUUGCACACCUACCUCUAGUAGAACCUUUGAAGUUUCCUUUCUUGGCACAAGUUUAGUUUGUGUGCUGUUAUUUUUUCUCUCUUUGUGCUCGGAAAUAAAAUAUCUUUAAUUGCCUGAGCAUGAGAGAAGUGCAGUAUAGAGGAAAGAAAUCCGUGUCUUAAGAAGUAACUAAACUAGGGUAUACCUUAAGUUCAGAACUUCUUGUACUAUAGUCAAGUAAAAGGGAAAAAGUUUUUUAUCCCAUGUUGAUACUUUAAGGAAACAGGAAAGAUUUCGUGACAUAGUAGGUAUUUUAUUGAUUCCAACACACCUAUACUAGUAGAUGAGUGUAUAUUACUUUCUGGCAACUGAGGAAUUUUCUGGAAGCUGAGGUUUUCAUCAUAUUUAGUUCCUGUAAAUCCCCCCCCCCCCCCCCACACCCCCAAAAAAAAAGGACAUAAAGAAAAAGAUUCUCCCUUAAAGGUUAUCGCAGGGUUCCUUCAUUUUGCAGUGAACCCUAUCUCAAUGGUCAUACACAUGAAUAAUCUUUUAUCUGUUCUGGCACCAGUGAAUGCAUUGAAGCGAACAUUUAUUAUGUAUGCAUGUUCUCGAGCAGACAAGACAGAUGUUGCACAUCUUCUGUUGCUUCAAUUUUGAUGUGGAAUUUUCUAAUUAUUCGUCUUUACAUCUCCAUUUGAUAUGAUAGUGGUUUUCUCCAUAAUAAUCUGGUAUGAGCCCUAAGAUUGUAAUGAUGGAUUAAAUAUAACCACCAGUAUCCCUAUGUCCUUCUGGGAUAUAUCUGUAGCAAAAUGAGUGUAUGAAUCACCAAAAUUGGUGCCUAUUUUGGAGGUCCACUAGAACACAGGAUUAGUAGGCCGCUCGAUUGUAGGAUAAGUGGAGAUUACUUGGCUUUUUAUGUGGCUGAAAGAGUGAUAACGAUGCCCCGGCUUGCAAUAGCGAAGUUUGGAAUAAAUGGUAUCUUUAUUGAUUCUGAAGGUGAUGGGAGGAGAGUUAUUAGAUCUGGCUUCUAAUGAAGAGGAGAAUUUGAUAGAAGAUAGAGUGAGAGAAUUACCACUUAUAAAUAACUGUAAGGCAUGUAGUUUCCUUUAACUAUCUAGUACUAGAACUUUCCCGAACAUUACCUGCUCAACUUUUUACAUGAGUUUUAGCCUUUUCUCAUACAGUGAAGGAGACUUUUCCAUUUUAUAUUCCUUCAUGAUAGUCUCUUUCUGGUUAUUAUCUUGGCUCAUCUCUUCCCCGCUAUUCUUCUCUUCUUCUUUUAACACUCUCCCGCUACCAGCAAACAAUUCAUCAAAGCUUUCCUUUUUCUUUUUCUUUAUCUCUACAUCUUUAUUUGACACCAAUAUGUGAGGAAAAUGAGAAGGAGAAUAAGCUACGGACUGAGGGUGUUUGUUGGUGGUGCGGGAGGGGAGGAAGAAAGAAAAGAAAAAGGAGAGGAAAGGAGGCGAUAUUGAUUGUGGAGGUUGGGAAAUACAAGCAAAGGAAAACGAAAAACAAAGAAAACUUUUGCCCUUAGCCUACGGGAUAAUUCAAUGGAAUGGAGUUAGGGCCUGCAUUUCAUAGAAGGAUGCUUAAAGUGCUCAAAAGAUAGCUUAGGAGGUAAAGUACUUCAAUAUCUAUCCUUAGGUGGGAGGCUCACUUUAAUUAAUGGUGUGCUGGAUGUAAUUCCUACAUAUUUGAUGUCUCUUUUCCCCAUCCCAGUCAGUGUGGAAAAGAAAUUUAAUCGUAUGAGAAGUCAGUUUCUUUGGGAGGGGAAGGCUGAGAGGAAAAAGUAUCAUUUGGUAAAGUGGCAGGAACUUAUUAAAGACAAGAAAGGUGGUGGUUUAGGAGUUAAAAAUUUAAAGCCCCAUAACAAGAGUCUGUCGUUCAAAUGGUUGUGGAGAUACAAGGAAGGCUGAGAGGAAAAAGUAUCAUUUGGUAAAGUGGCAGGAAGUUAUUAAAGACAAGAAAGGUGGUGGUUUAGGAGUUAAAAAUUUAAAGCCCCAUAACAAGAGUCUGUCGUUCAAAUGGUUGUGGAGAUACAAUGAUGGUGGAGAGAAAAUCUGGAAGCAGGUUAUUGACAUCAUAUAUGGUAGAGAAGGCUUUUGGGCACCUCGUGCAGUAUCUAUACCAUCAAAAACUGGAGUAUGGAAGCAAAUAAGUAGAUUAUGGCUCGAAUUUCAGAAAUUCAUCUCAUUCAAGCUCGGAAAUGGAAGCAGAAUCAGGUUCUGGACAGAUGUCUGGCUAGGUGAUGAUAAACUGAUGAACAAAUUUCCUACAUUGUAUAGUUUAACCAGGAAAUACACAGUGUACUACUUGAUGCUAGUACAUUGGACUCUCAGAUUUGGCCAGCUGGGAAAGAUGGCAAAUUCUCAGUAAAGAGCUGUUAUACUCUUUUGCAAAAACAAAUAGGUCACUGGGAUUUGACUUGGCCGUGGAAGAUGUUGUGGAAAUCACAAGCACCUCCUGAAGUAGCUUGCUUUGGCUGGACUGUAGUUAGAAAUGCAUGUUUAGCUCAAGAUAUGUUGCAGAGAAGGGGAACUCCUCCUUUGUGCAGUAGAUGUUUUUUUUGUGAAAAUUCCCAGGAAUCUGCAGAACAUCUUUUUUUGCACUGCAAUUAUACAAGCCAGAUAUGGAAUCUGUUUCUCGCUCUGACUGUUGUGCAAUGGGUGAUGCCAAAGAAGGUGAAAGAUCUAUUGGUUUGUUGGCAGAAUCAAAGAGUCGGGAAAAAUCUAAAGCGAAUCUGGAGGACCAUACCUCUUUGCAUCUUUGCACCAUCUGGUUGGAAAGAAAUAAGAGAUGUUUUAAAAAUCAGUAGAAUCAUUUAGCUAGUGUUAGAAAUAGUUGUCUUCAUAACUUAUACUUUUGGUGUAGGGGAAGUUUGGCAGAAGACUUAGAUCAGUACAUGGAUUUUAUAGAAGUUUUGAGAUUGUAAUAGUUUUCGGCAGUGCUGAAAUUUUGUAUGCUUUCUGUACCUUCUUGGUACUUUUUUAAUGAAAUUUACAUUACCUUAUAAAAAAAAAGAACUUCAAUAAAAUUUUCAGAUAAAUUGCUAAGUGCUAAAUAGCAAGUAGGUUUUCUUUGGAUCGAUUAAAUAGCAAGUAGUUUAGUGAAGGAACAAUUCAUCUCUUCUGGAACAACAAAAGCUCUAAUAGAUAACUCAAUGGAAUAGAAGAUUCUGAGGUGACAUUUUGAUUUGUUUUUGGUUUAAUUCCUGGAAGUUAGGUUUUUGAGAAAGUUGUGUAAUUUGGAGAAAGGUUAUGUAUUAGUAUUACCUUUGAGCAAUAUGCUUUUAAGAAUAGUUGUGCUAGUUUUGUGAAAAAACUACCUUAAAUUGCUUUGUUUUUUGGAAACCAUUUUUGUUUGAUUUCAAGAAAACAAUGUCUGUUUUGGGGACAGUUCUUUAAAAAACUUUCCAUGUAAAAUGGACUAGGUAUUCAAACACUUCAAGAGUUCAAAGAAGGAAAGACUUCGGUUUGUUAAAUGAGAUGACUUCUGUGAGGAACACUAUUCCAAUAUUAGAUAAUGGCUGCCUUCCAAUUCCAAUUCCAAUCAAGAGGUUUGGAGAUCGGGAGAGUGGAAAGUUCCAUUGUUGGCCUCCGUGGAGGGUUUGGUUUGGGAUUCACCAAAUAAAAUAAAACUACAACGAACAUCAAGUUACCAAAAUAAGUCCAACCUUAUGGAUUUAACAAUAUGGUCAACAUGCCUUUGGAUAAGUUUAGUCCAAAGGUAGUUGGAUAAGUUAUUCACUCACAACAUGAAAAAUUAUGCUAAUUAGAAAAAAGAGCUUACCGAUGAUUCUCUUGCAGGUUCUCUAGUUGUUGCCUCAGCAAUGCAGCUUCCCUUUGCCAAAACUGCACAAAAAAGAUAUAAAUUUGUAAAUUUGUUCAAUAAGAGAGAAAUCAAUAAAUGUUUUUUUGUGUUAUGACUACAGUAAUGCAGAAUUACUGGCAAACCAAGCUCAACUUUUGUUGCCACAUUCAACUGGAAAUGCUACUUAGGUUUGUUUUUCAUGACCCAUCUCUCUGGUGGCCCAAGUUUAGUGAUAAGUUAAUCUUCCAACACAUAUCUUUUACUCUUUUAAUGAUGGUACAGGACAAGGUUAAUAAGAUCGCUUCACAUAUCAAAAGCCAUAACAAGCCUUUCAAAAAUGGUUUAAAGAAAAUAAUGAGCUGUUGUUGCUUUCUAGAAUUUGUAUCAUUAACCCAAAUAAAAAACAAAAUACCAUUUCAAAAGCAAACAAAAAUAAAAUAUGUCUAUUUGUUUUUGUAAAAGUAUUUAGUCCUUUUCACAGUCAUUUUUGAAUUUUAUUUACUAUAUUAUUUUAAAUUUUUUAUGACAAUUGACGCUAUUGGUUCGUCAUCUAGUACUUUCAUUCACCUCCCAAUACAACUUAAGGUUGCAACCAUAUCUGUUGGUGCAAGAUAGAACCCUUGUGGCUUGGAAUGGAUGACUAUAAAUUUCACUGCAUUGGGAUAGUAUGACGAGGCAAAGGCCUCUUUUUGGUUUGUUAAAUGAGUGUUUAGUUUAUAAAAUGUCCUAGUUCAAGUAUACAAGGGCAUCUAUAGGUGUUUAUAAAGGUUAUGGGGUAAUUCAUAUAUUACUUUUAAGAUUUUUGAGCUGGUACUCAAAUUUUUUAACAUAGUACCGAAGCGAAUAUUGAGAAAUCCAUUCUCUCACUAGUAAGUUCAUAUUAAAGUCCAUGUGUGAAUUCCAAAAUCGGGUUAUAUGUGUGGGAAGGUGUUGAGUUAUAUAAAGCCUAUGACAUCCAAAAUGGUUUAUAAGGUCUCAAGUUACUCCACUCAUUCCCUUGCUAUUUUGGAUUGGAUGCUCAAAUUCUUUUACGAUGACUAGUUACAAUUGUAGUAUAGGUAUUGCCGAUGUGUUAUUUUAAAAAGUUGUCCCUCAUUGUGUGUAACUUAAUUGGAAAUGCACGUGUGCUUAGUUUUCUCACUAGGCUACGAUUUCUUUAUGGCUAGAUACAGUUUAAUAGGUCAGCAAAUUUAUAAUGAAUCUAAGGUUAUAAAUUGGACAUCAGAGAUAAGGAGGUAGACAUGUAAAAAUUGGACUAAGAAUGGAGAAUCUCGUCUGAACCCUCGAUUUGAUUGUUUUCCAAGAAUGUUGAGCAGGUAUGUAAGCCAUGUACCUGGGAAGAGUACUAGAGUGAUUCUUUGCAUAAUUUUUCUAUUUUCUAAUUACAGUAAAAACUUGUUCCUUCAUAUUCUGUUACACCUUGUAACUUUGAGGUUGUAUUGAGAAGUUUUUAUAAGUAGGUGGUUGCAUUAUAUGUGAUAUCAUGGUAUCAAGGUGAAAAAUGUACAUAAAACCAUUUAUGUUCCAAUCUCAGGCAGUUGAAUUUUGAGGUGAAGAUUUAAUCUAUGUCCAAAUAUGACUUGUGUUUGUCUUACUGUAGUUUACUAGCAAAAUAAGAUGAAUUUUUCUCUCGACAGGAAAAUAUAUUAGACUUAUGGAGGACUGAAAGUAAUUGGAAAUGCAAGGGGUUGUUAAAUUAGUUAUUACCUGUUAAAGUGAAUGAGAUGGACGACUCUUGUGCAUAUGAUAGUCCAAACCGGUCAACAUUUAUCAUGCAUGAAGAUGUUGAGUUUGAGAAAAAGGGAAUCUUUUAACUAAUUGUGUAUGCCUGUCUUUAGGGUUCUACACUAGCUCCUACCCAUUACCCCUGUUUCUGAAUGUGGGCGCUUCUAUUCUAUUCUUUGGUUUAAGCAAAUAAUUGUGGGAAUUUAAGUGAUUUGAGAAUUUAAGUGAUUUGAGUAUAAGGUACAUGAUUAGCGUGCAUCUAGGUGUGCAGCAUGAGAGCUGGGAUAUCCAUUGGCUAAUUGUUUUUGCAUCUCCGGAAGUUGUUGCAUCUUCAGUGAGUUGACAGUACUUGACAUUUGGUUCAAAUGAUGGUAUGACUUAUUAUGGAAAAGGAUAUGCAGGAUUAUAUCUCUUGGGUUCAGAUGUAGCUCUAAAUUGUGGCCAGUCAGUCUAGCCUCAUCAUUUUACUCAGGGUGUUUGCAUUAGCUGAAUCGCUUAGAUUCCUAUAAUAUAGUAAACCUUUUUUGCUUUUCUUCAAGUACAGGAAAUUAGGACUUGGAAUCCUGAUUGGAACUUAUGCUAUAGUUCUAACGAGAUGCUCGAGUAUUUGUGUACUGUUUUAAGUAAGUGCCAUAGACAUGAGCAGUGGAUGUCAUGAUGGUGGCAUUAGCAUCUGAGGACAAAUCUCAGUAUAUGCUAAAUCAUGGCAGCACGGAGCAGUCAUAUUUGGGUUAAAAGGCACCUGAUUAAGGGGGACCAAGAGCUGCUUUUGUGAUCAAUCUUACCAGAAAAUACAGAACCACCAUUUCCAGAUCUCCUUGCUCUAACUGAACUAUUAUGGCACUCUGUCAGAUAAAAAUCCCCUGAACACAGGAAGAGUUUCUGUGCUAUGCUGAGAUCUAAUGCAGCUAUACAAGAGACUGGUACCUCACUUCAGUUUGGCAGUAGUAUCAGGGCCAUGUAACUUCUAAAAAUGUGAAGGUCCAGAGUUUCUGUUAUUUUCCCUUUAAUCACAUUUUCUUCACCUAUGUUUUGACCUGCAUCAUUGAAUACUAAUCUGUAAAGCAGAACGAACUAUAUUUUGAUGGAAAUUUUUAUUCUCUUGCAGCUUCUCAUAGUCCAAAGAACACACACCUUCUGACUUCUGUUUCCCCUGCACCAAUUGCAAAGAAGGAUUAGAUGAUUAGUCUUGAAAUAGUGGAAAGAUGACAUGACUAAGCUAAGAUUCGUGACAGUCUUAUAGAGCUGGAUACUGUUGUUUGAACCAGAGACCUUCAACCAGUGCUAUCCCAGAAUGUCAUUAUGAUAAUGCAACGAGUGGCCAAGUUUGUAACAGCUCCAUGUUUGUUGUCAUCUUGGUAUAAAGUUUAGCAUCCUCAGUUUUACUAUCUUCUGUUCUAGAAGAUAAUUCUUUAGAGACUUCAACUUGCAACAUCAAUAGUGCCACAUUCAAAACUGAUUAGCUGGGAUAUGAUUAGAGGGUAAAUAUAAGAGUAUAAUUCCACUGUUAAGGAAAUGGAGUGACCCUAAUGGUCAUAAUCCAGGAUAACUGCUGCGAAAUAUUGUCGGAUGCCUUUUAGUUCCUAGAGGAAAAGUGCUAAGCGCCAGAAUGACUUAAAAGCUCUUAAAUUCUCGGACAGUCGUUUGAUCCUUCGAACUAUUAACUGUCAAGAACUUCCAUGUUUCUAAAAGCAGUUUGAGCUUCUUUAUCUUAGCAUUUGUGUGUAGUCAUCGCCAGGAUUUGCAGUAUGAAGACAGCAGAUGGGUCUAAAAGAAUAGACUUGUCAAUAUAAGAGUGUUGUUCCUCAUUUGCUACUUUUUGUCGGGCACAGGUCAUGAAAUGAUAUUCCCAUUGAUUCCAAAAUGCUAUUGAUAAAUGCAGUCACUGCAUAAGGUUCUUGAUUGGCGCAUCUAAAGUGUGUGUAUCUCUUCUGUGGGAGGAAAUUAAUUUGUCCAGAGUCCUUGUUCCAAUUGCUAGACCUGCAUUAGUUCAUCAAACUUCCUGCCCUGUGCUAGCAUGAAUAUCUACUCCCUCUCUGAGGUGCCCUACAAUGUAUACCUAAAUGACAAAGCCAAAGUCUUUCGCGCUAAAGAUGAAAUUAUCUUGUUUUCAAACAGUUUAGAGCUUUUUUACAGGGAAUGUCUUGACAACUCUUUUCACUUACCAGUUUAUAGAUGUCGCAAGCCUUUUUCAUAUGUGCUUUUUUGUUGUUGUUUCAGUUCCCAUACCGAAAUAAAGUGGAGUUGCAGAAGUAACCCUAUAAAAUAUGCUUCCUUGAUGAGCCAUUAAGCCAUUUGGGAUGCUUUCUUCUUAUUAUUAAAAAGUCUUCCUACUUGGCACCACCUCUGUAGCUAUGUUGUGCUUCCAGUAGUGGAAGAUAUGCAUGUUCCCGCUCUUCUAGAUCUUCUUCUGAUUGCCACAACACUAAUGGAAUUAUAUUUGCCCUUUCCAUUAAUGGAAUUCAUCAUAGGUUCCAUCUUUAGUUCAUUCCUCCAUUUCUCCAAAUAGCCGGGGUGGAAUGGAGAUGGUAGAACAGGUAUCAGCUAAUGAGGAUCUCCAUUCUCUCUGCCCAUUUGGUUGUGGAAUUGAUUGACGCAUCCUUUCAUGCAUGUGCAUGUUCUUCUCCUCAAUAUUAGAAUCAUAAUCCAACGAUCCAGGGAUCCAAGUUCAUGGAAUCAAUCCAGAUCACGGGUACAACUAAGAGAGGUUGAAUUGGAAUAUUGUGUAGCUGCUGGCAUCCAAGUUCUGUAGAAUUGGGAUCCAAGUUCAUGGUAUCAUUCCAUUUUUAUUAAUUUUGAAAGUAUAAAUUGUCCUUGAGAAUUCUCUUGUCAUGCUAGUGGUCUGCUGGCAGCAUUACUAUACUGCCUAUAGAUUCUAGACUUUCUGUGCUCCUGGGAGGGCUUCACACCGAC